rnacentral:rRNA from 1 species
UACGAAGGGGGCUAGCGUUGUUCGGAAUCACUGGGCGUAAAGGGCGCGUAGGCGGCUUUAUAAGUCGGGGGUGAAAGCCUGUGGCUCAACCACAGAAUUGCCUUCGAUACUGUAGAGCUUGAGACCGGAAGAGGUAAGUGGAACUGCGAGUGUAGAGGUGAAAUUCGUAGAUAUUCGCAAGAACACCAGUGGCGAAGGCGGCUUACUGGUCCGGUUCUGACGCUGGAGGCGCGAAAAGCGGUGGGGAGCAAACAGG